GCAUAUCAAUAAGCGGAGGAAAAGAAACCAACAGGGAUUGCCUUUAGUAACGGCGAGUGAAGCGGCAACAGCUCAAAUUUGAAAUCUGGCUCUUUCAGGGUCCGAGUUGUAAUUUGCAGAGGAUGCUUCGGGUGCGGGUUCCUUCCGAGUUCCCUGGAACGGGACGCCAUAGAGGGUGAGAGCCCCGUCUGGUCGGAAACCCAGCCCGUGUGAAGCUCCCUCGACGAGUCGAGUAGUUUGGGAAUGCUGCUCUAAGGGGAGGUAUACUCCUUCCAAAGCUAAAUACCGGCUGGAGACCGAUAGCGCACAAGUAGAGUGAUCGAAAGAUGAAAAGCACUUUGAAAAGAGAGUCAAAUAGCACGUGAAAUUGCUGAAAGGGAAGCGCUCGCUACCAGACUUGGGUUCGCGGUUCCGUAGGUGCUCCGCACCUGCGUACUCCUCGGACCCAGGCCAGCAUCAGUUCUCUGUUGGGUUCAAAGACGUCGGGAAUGUGGCUCUCCUCCGGGAGAGUGUUAUAGCCCUUCGUGUCAUGCCCUUCGGGGGACUGAGGUACGCGCUCCGCAAGGAUGCUGGCGUAAUGGUAGCUAGUGACCCGUCUUGAAACACGGACCAAGGAGUCAACCUUAUGUGCGAGUGCCCGGGCGUAAAACCCCAGCGCGGAAUGAAAGUGAACGUAGGUAAGAGCUUCGGCGCAUUACCGACCGAUCCUGAUGUCCUCGGACGGAUUUGAGUGAGAGCAUAUAGGGGUUGGACCCGAAAGAAGAUGAACUAUGCGUGUGUAGGGGUGAAGCCAGAGGAAACUCUGGUGGAGGCUCGCAGCGGUUCUGACGUGCAAAUCGAUCGUCAAACAUGCGCAUGGGGGGCGAAAGACUAAUCGAAUCUUCUGGUAGCUGGGUUUCCGCCGA
rnacentral:rRNA from 1 species